rnacentral:rRNA from 1 species
CGGACGUGACGGAACCUCGUCCUUUCAGGGAGGGACACAGUUGGAAACGACUGCUAAUACCGCAUAAUAUAUGUUUGUCGCAUGGCAGAUAUAUCAAAGAUUUAUCGCUGAGAGAUGGCCUCGCGUCUGAUUAGCUAGUUGGUAGGGUAAUGGCCUACCAAGGCGACGAUCAGUAGCCGGACUGAGAGGUUGGCCGGCCACAUUGGGACUGAGAUACGGCCCAGACUCCUACGGAAGGCAGCAG